UACGAAGGGGGCUAGCGUUGUUCGGAAUUACUGGGCGUAAAGCGCACGUAGGCGGGUUAUUAAGUUAGGGGUGAAAUCCCGGAGCUCAACUCCGGAACUGCCUUUGAUACUGGUAAUCUAGAGAUCGGAAGAGGUUAGUGGAAUUCCCAGUGUAGAGGUGAAAUUCGUAGAUAUUGGGAAGAACACCAGUGGCGAAGGCGGCUAACUGGUCCGAUACUGACGCUGAGGUGCGAAAGCGUGGGGAGCAAACAGG
rnacentral:rRNA from 1 species